rnacentral:rRNA from 1 species
AACGAACGCUGGCGGCAUGCCUAACACAUGCAAGUCGAACGAGACCUUCGGGUCUAGUUGCGCACGGGUGCGUAACGCGUGGGAACCUGCCCUUAGGUUCGGAAUAACUCCCCGAAAGGGGUGCUAAUACCGGAUAAUGUCUUCGGACCAAAGAUUUAUCGCCUUUGGAUGGGCCCGCGUUGGAUUAGCUAGUUGGUAGUGUAAAAGCCUACCAAGGCGACGAUCCAUAGCUGGUCUGAGAGGAUGAUCAGCCACACUGGGACUGAGACACGGCCCAGACUCCUACGGGAGGCAGCAGUGGGGAAUAUUGGACAAUGGGCGAAAGCCUGAUCCAGCAAUGCCGCGUGAGUGAUGAAGGCCUUAGGGUUGUAAAGCUCUUUUACCCGGGAUGAUAAUGACAGUACCGGGAGAAUAAGCUCCGGCUAACUCCGUG